rfam:Gossypium arboreum cultivar AKA8401 contig_3225_9, whole genome shotgun sequence.
UUGUCCAAAAAAUUAGAAUUUGGGAAAAUCGCUAUAUAAGCCCUCCUAAUUAAUAAUCCAAAGCAAUUUCAUACAAAUUUCUUCUAGAACACAAGUUUUGCAAUUUAUUCGAUUUGGUCCCUAAUUUUCAUUUGGACACCUUACACCUAGAAUUUCUUCAUAAACCUUUCACACUUGCAUGAUUUCAUGUCCUAGACCUAAAAAUAAUCAUAAAAAAAAUAUUUUUGCAUCAGAUUUGUGGUCCCGAAAUCACUGUUCUGACUAGGCCCUAAUUUGGGAUGUUACAAAGAAAUUCAAGCAAGCGCGGGUAAGCGACGAGAGUAACUGUGACUCUCUUAAGGUAGCAAAAUGCCUCAUCAUCUAAUUAGUGACACAUACGAAUGGGUUAAAAGGAUUCCCAUUGUCUCUGUUUACUAUCCAGUGAAAGCACAAUCAAGGGAAUAAGCUUGGCAAAAUUAGUGGGGAAAGAAGACCCUGUUGAGCUUGACUCUAGUUUGACUUUGUGAAAUGACUUGAGAGGUGUAGGAUAAGUGCGAGCUCUCGGGAGAAAUUGAAAUACUUCUACUUUUAACAUUAUUUUACUUAUUCUGUGAAUCAAAGGUGGGGCACGACCCCUCUUUUUUGACCCAAGGUUGGCUUCGGCCGACUGACCUAGGCAGAAUACAAUGUUAGGUGGAGAGUUUGGCUGGGGUGGCCCAUUUGUUAAAAGAUAAUGCAGGUGUCCUAAGAUGAGCUCAACGAGAAUAAAAAUAUUAUAUGGAACAAAAGGGUAAAAACUUGUUUGAUUUUGAAUACCAGUACAAAUAUGAACUGUGAAAGCGUGGCUUAUCGAUCCUUUAGACCUUCGAAAUUUGAAGCUAGUGGUGUGAGAAAUGUUACUACAGGGAUUGGCUUGUGGCAGCCAAGUAUUCAUAGCGAUGUCACUUUUUGAUCCUUCGAUGUCAUCUCUUCUUAUCAUUGUGAAGUAGAACAUACCAAGUGUUGGAUUGUGCACCCACUAAUAGGAAACGUGAGCUAGGUUUAGACUAUUGUAAGAUAGGUUAGUUUUACCCUACGGUCUAGGCACACACCUAUGUCCUGAGGCUAUGGCCUUCACACGGCUGGGACACACGGUCGUGUCUCUACCCG